UGCCUGGCGGCAGUAGCGCGGUGGUCC
rnacentral:ncRNA from 4 species